UACGUAGGUGGCAAGCGUUGUCCGGAUUUACUGGUCGUAAAGAGCGCGCAGGCGGUCGUUCAAGUCGCGUGUGAAAGCCCCCGGCUCAACUGGGGAGGGUCACGCGAUACUGAUCGACUCGAAGGCAGGAGAGGGUAGUGGAAUUCCCGGUGUAGUGGUGAAAUGCGUAGAUAUCGGGAGGAACACCAGUGGCGAAGGCGACUACCUGGCCUGUUUCUUGACGCUGAGGCGCGAAAGCUAGGGGAGCAAACGGG
rnacentral:rRNA from 1 species